AGAGUUUGAUCCUGGCUCAGAACUAACGCUGGCGGCAUGCCUAACACAUGCAAGUCGUAACAAGGUAACCCUUCGGUCCUGUAGUAAAGUGGCAAACGGGUGAGUAACGCGUAGCUAACCUCCAUUCAUGUCUGGAAUAAUACGCCGACUUGGGUGCUAAUACCGGGUAUUCUAGCUGUUCAUGCGUUAUGCAAGCUAAAGGUGGCCUCUGCAUAUGCUACUGCRUGAAGAGGGGUCUGCGUACCAUUAGCUAGUAGGUGGGGUAAUGGCCUACCUAGGCGACGAUGGUNAGCGGGUCUGAGAGGAUGAUCCGCNAC
rnacentral:rRNA from 1 species